GAUAGGUCUCGAUUGCUGGAAUGCAUCGAGAUUUAAAGCUCCGGCGCCUGAGGAUGGGUCUGCGGCCUAUCAGGUAGUAGUGGGUGUAGCGUACCUACUAGCCUACGACGGGUACGGGUUGUGAGAGCAAGAGCCCGGAGAUGGAUUCUGAGACACGAAUCCAGGCCCUACGGGGUGCAGCAGGCGCGAAAACUUUACAAUGCUGGCAACAGCGAUAAGGGAACCUCGAGUGCCAGGUUACAAAUCUGGCUGUCGAGAUGCCUAAAAAGCAUUUCAUAGCAAGGGCCGGGCAAGACCGGUGCCAGCCGCCGCGGUAACACCGGCGGCCCGAGUGGUAACCGCUUUUAUUGGGUCUAAAGGGUCUGUAGCCGGCCAAGUAAGUCCCUUGGGAAAUCUGGCAGCUUAACUGUCAGGCUGCUAGGGGAUACUGCUAGGCUUGGGACCGGGAGAGGUGAGAGGUACCUUGGGGGUAGGGGUGAAAUCUUGUGAUCCUCGGGGGACCACCAGUGGCGAAGGCGUCUCACCAGAACGGGUCCGACGGUAAGGGACGAAAGCUAGGGGCACGAACCGGAUUAGAUACCCGGGUAGUCCUAGCCGUAAACGAUGCUCGCUAGGUGUCAGUCACGGUGCGACCGUGAUUGGUGUCGUAGGGAAGCCGUGAAGCGAGCCACCUGGGAAGUAUGGCCGCAAGGCUGAAACUUAAAGGAAUUGGCGGGGGAGCACAA
rnacentral:rRNA from 1 species